rnacentral:rRNA from 1 species
AUGGAGGCGACGGCACUGAGUGUUGGAAAGUCCGUGCUGAGUGGAGCGCUUAGAUAUGCCACAUCUGCCCUGGCGGAGGAGGUGGCCCUGCAGCUCGGAGUCCGGCGUGACCAGGUCUUCAUCACCAACGAGCUCGAGAUGAUGCAGGCUUUCCUCAUGUCUGCUCAUGACGAUGGAGAUGACAACAGGGUGGUCAAGGUCUGGGUGAAGCAAGUCCGUGACGUGGCCUAUGACGUCGAGGACACCCUCCAGGAGUUCGCCGUGCGCCUCGAGAAGCAGUCUUGGUGGCGUAUCCGUCGAAACCUACUCGACCGGCGUCGUGUGGCAAAGCAGAUGAAGGAGCUCAGAGCCAGUGUUGAGGAUGUCAGCCAGAGAAACAUGCGCUACAAUCUCAUCAAGGGCUCUGGAUCCAAGGCCACCAUGGCUGAGCAGUCUAGCAUUACUUCUUCAGCACUGGUUGGCAUUAAUGAAGCAAGGUGCAUGUCAAGGCAAGAGAAAUCCAAACUGGAUCUUUUUCAGCUGAUCAACCAGAAGGAGAAUGGCCUGAGGGUGAUCGCAGUGUGGGGAACAAGUGUUGAUCUUGGACAAACAUGCAUAAUCAGGACGGUAUACGAGAAUCAAGAUAUCGAAAGCAAGUUUCCAUGCCGAGCUUGGGUCAGGGUGAUGCAUCCUUUUAAUCUAAAAGACUUCGUUCAGUGUUUGGUCGAGCAGUUUCACGCAGCCAUAGGUGUUGAUGUUUUGUUGGAGACAGAGAAGACGUCCCAAGAGUUGAUCGAGGAAUUCAAUGGAUGUGUGAACAAGAAGCGUUACCUGAUUGUGCUUAAUGACCUAUCCACCAUUGAGGAGUGGGAUCGGAUUAAAAAGUGCUUCCCAAACAACAAUAUGGGGAGCAGGAUCAUAGUGUCUACAGCUCAAGUUGAAGUUGGAAGCUUAUGUGCAGGGCAAGGAAGCAUGGCAUCACAGCUCAGGCAACUGUCUGCUGAUCAAAAUAUUUAUGCUUUCCAUGAGAAGGUUUCUCAAGAUGAAACAGAUUUAAUUAAGACAGAAUCAAGCUCAAACCGUGCCAUUACCAGUACAGAUAACAACUCUACUACGAGUGAAAUAUCGGAGGACCAGUCAAAGGGUGCAGAUGAAAAAACUAUAGUAAAAAAGAGCUUCACCCGCCUCAGGACGACGGUGACUGCUUUGGAGGAAUCUCACCUUGUUGGGCGAGAGAAAGAAAAGGAUGAGAUUGUCAAAUUAAUUUCAGAUCAACCUACCCAAGAAUUCCAGGUGAUCACUGUGUGGGGAAUGGGUGGUCUUGGAAAAACCACUCUAGUCAAAGAUAUCUACCAAAACCAAGAGCUGAGUAGCAUGUUUGAGAAGCGUGCUUGCAUCACAGUUAUGCAUCCUUUCAAUCUUGAAGGUCUUCUUAGAAGCUUAAUUAUGCAACUAGAUAGAGAAUCUUCUGAAAAGAAGGAUGUGGCGGGUUUGAUGGGCAGCACAAAGAACAUAUUAUUAUUGAUGCCACUUGCAGAAUUGAGCAAGGAACUGGCAAGGCUUUUAGAAGGAAAGAGGUGCUUGAUUGUUCUUGAUGAUCUCUCAUCUACCGCAGAAUGGAACAUGAUAAUACCAAUUUUCCAUGGAAUGGAAAAAACAAGCCGGAUCAUAGUCACCACAAGGGAAAAAAAUAUUGCUGAUCUUUGUUCAGAGAACAAAGAAAAUAUAUACAUGCUCAAAAAUCUAGAAUACAAGGAUGCACAUGACCUCUUCACUAAGAAGGUAUUCAAGGAGAUUACAGAUUUGGAUACACAAUAUCCUGAGCUGGUUGAACAGACAGAACUCAUCUUGAGGAAGUGUGGUCGGCUCCCUCUUGCAAUAGUCACCAUAGGCGGCUUCUUGGCUAGCCAACCAAAAACCUCUUUGGAAUGGAGGAAAUUGAAUGAUCAUAUCAGUGCCGAGUUGGAGAUGAAUCCAGAGCUUGGGACUAUAAGGAUUGUACUUAUGAGAAGCUAUGAUGGUUUACCGUAUCACCUCAAGUCAUGUUUCCUAUAUAUGCCCAUCUUUCCUGAAGACUACAAGGUUGGCCGGGGACGUUUGGCACGUCGGUGGAGUGCAGAGGGUUACACAAGGGAGAUGCGCGGCAAGACCGCGGAGGAAAUAGCGGAUACUUACUUCAUGGAACUUAUAAGUAGGAGUAUGAUCCUACCAUCUCAACAAUCCCUUCAUAAUGCAAAAGGAAUUGAUUCCUGCCAAGUCCACGAUCUUAUUCGUGAAAUUGGUGUCUCAAAGUCAAUGGAAGAAAAUCUUGUUUUUACACUGGAGGAAGGUUGCAGCUCAAAUAGCCAAGCCAUGGUGCGCAACCUAGCUAUAAGCAGCAACUGGAAUGGAGACAAGCGUGAGUUUGAGAGCAAAGUGGACAUGUCCCGUCUCCGGUCAAUUACAUGUUUUGGUGAGUGGAAGUCAUUUUACAUUUCUCGCCAGAUGAGGUUGCUACGAGUGUUGGACCUGGAAGACAUAACAACAACUCUACAUGAUCAUCACCUGAAGCAUAUUGGGAAGCUUCUUCACCUAAGAUAUAUUUCUCUAAGAGGAUGUCUUGGUAUUACUCAGCUGCCAGAUUUAUUGGGUGACCUCAGACAGUUGGAGACACUAGACAUUAGAGAUACCAACAUAUUGAUGUUGCCAAAGACCAUCAUCAAGCUUCAGAAGCUAAACUAUCUUCGUGCUGGGAAGACAUCGGAGGAUGAGCGGUUCUCCUGGGAUAUGUCAGAGGAUUUGCCACACGCAUUGAAGAACCGACUCUGCAAUUUACUUUUAGGGAUGGCGGGAUGUUGUUAUAUACUGUAUCUUGAUGAUGAACAGAAUACCAUGCGCCACCGAACUGUAUGCACUUACUUUUGCUUUUCCUUGCUCCCUGCUGUUGUGAUGCGCCUGGAAUUGGAUGGUGUGCUAGUGCAAAGAGGAAUGAGAAAACUUAAAACCCUGCACACACUGGGUGUUGUGAACAUCGGACAACGAGGGAAGCUCGUUCUACAGGACAUAAAAGAACUCACGCAGUUGCGCAAGUUUGGAGUGACUGGCGUCAAGAAGGAGAACGGACAAGAGUUGUGCUCAGCAAUUGUUGGUCUCAGCCGGUUGGAGUCAUUGUCAAUCCGGUCAGAGGGGGAGCCAGGUCUAUGUGACUGCUUGGAUGGAAAAUUCUCGUUUCCGGAGACAUUGCAGAGCCUCAAGCUGUACGGCAACCUGGUCAAACUGCCGGAAUGGGUCCAGGGCCUCAAGAAUCUGGUGAAGCUGAAGCUGCGGAGCUCCAGGAUAACAGAGCAUGAUACAACAAUACAACUCCUUGGGAAUCUACCCCAUCUGGAGUUCCUGCAUAUGUUGGAGAAGUCAAUCGAGGGUGAAGAGGUCCGUCUCAGUUUCCAGCCGGGGAUGUUCCCGAGCCUGGCGGUGCUGGAGCUGAGCAUGGGACUCGAAGGAAGGCUCAAGUCCGUCAUGUUUGAACAAGGAACAACCAUGAAGCUUGAGGUGCUCAAGUUUGGUACGACUACAUACAUCGACAGCAGUUCCGUUUUGGGUCUACCAUCUCUCGCGACCCUCAAGGAAGUUGUGCUCGAAGGUAAGUAUGGUGACCCUGAAUUGGCAUACCUGAGGGCUGAGAUCGCUGAGAAUCCACAUCGACCCGUUGUGAAGAGGGUCUGA